rnacentral:rRNA from 1 species
UACGGGGGGGGCAAGCGUUGUUCGGAAUUACUGGGCGUAAAGGGCGCGUAGGCGGCCUACUAAGUCGAACGUGAAAUCCCUCGGCUCAACCGGGGAACUGCGUCCGAUACUGGUGGGCUCGAAUCCGGGAGAGGGAUGUGGAAUUCCAGGUGUAGCGGUGAAAUGCGUAGAGAUCAGGAAGAACAUCGGUGGCGAAGGCGCUCUGCUGGACCAUAACUGACACUCAGGGACGAAAGCUAGGGGAGCGAAUGGG